AAGGAUUCCCCUAGUAGCGGCGAGCGAAGCGGGAAGAGCUCAAAUUUAUAAUCUGGCACCUUCGGUGUCCGAGUUGUAAUCUCUAGAAAUGUUUUCCGCGCUGGACCGCACACAAGUCUGUUGGAAUACAGCGGCAUAGUGGUGAGACCCCCGUAUAUGGUGCGGAUGCCCAGCGCUUUGUGAUACAUUUUCGAAGAGUCAAGUUGUUUGGGAAUGCAGCUCAAAUUGGGUGGUAAAUUCCAUCUAAAGCUAAAUAUUGGCGAGAGACCGAUAGCGAACAAGUACCGUGAGGGAAAGAUGAAAAGCACUUUGGAAAGAGAGUUAACAGUACGUGAAAUUGUUGGAAGGGAAACGCUUGAAGUCAGACUUGCUUGCCGAGCAAUCGGUUUGCAGGCCAGCAUCAGUUUUCCGGGAUGGAUAAUGGUAGAGAGAAGGUAGCAG
rnacentral:rRNA from 1 species